GCAUGGGUGGCUCAGUCGGUUGAGCGUCCGACUUCAGCUCAGGUCACGAUCUCGCGGUUUGUGGGUUCGGGCCCCCGCCUCGGGCU
rnacentral:tRNA from 1 species